AGAUACCCUAGUAUAGAAAUGGCUUUUAAUUAGUAUAAAUGAAAUUUAAAGAUUUUGGCGGUUGAUUUUUUCUAGAGGAGCUUGUAAAUUAAUAGAAUUAGCUCUUUUUAUUUUAGUAGUAAUAUAAUUUAUUCAUCUCCGUUAUCAAAAGGAUUUUUAAUAAUAUAUAUUAUAAUAUAUCAGGUCAAGAUGUAGUGUUUAUUAUAAUUUAUUAGCUACAUUUAUAAAAUAAUGGAUAGAGUUAUAUGGAAGUUAAGUUUGAAAUUGAAUUUAGUUAUAAUAUUAAUUAGAAAGUUAAUAUGAAAUUAAAUAAUUGAUGUACAGAUUGCCCGUCACUUCUGGGGUUACAGAAUAAGUCGUAACAAAGUA
rnacentral:rRNA from 1 species